UAGGAAUUAAGAGUAGAGGUGGCUGCUAACUAACUUCUAAAGCGGUUAAAUUCCGUUUUUUCCUUA
rnacentral:tRNA from 1 species